rnacentral:rRNA from 1 species
UACGUAGGGUGCGAGCGUUAAUCGGAAUUACUGGGCGUAAAGCGUGCGCAGGCGGUUCGUUGUGUCGGCGGUGAAAGCCCCGGGCUUAACCUGGGAAUGGCCGUUGAAACUGGCGAACUGGAGUGUGGCAGAGGGGGGUGGAAUUCCGCGUGUAGCAGUGAAAUGCGUAGAGAUCAGGAGGAACACCGGUGGCGAAGGCGGCCUACUGGGCCAGCACUGACGCUGAGGCGCGAAAGCUCGGGGAGCGAACAGG